rnacentral:rRNA from 1 species
UGGGGAAUAUUGGACAAUGGGCGAAAGCCUGAUCCAGCCAUGCCGCGUGUGUGAAGAAGGUCUUCGGAUUGUAAAGCACUUUAAGUUGGGAGGAAGGGCAGUAAGCGAAUACCUUGCUGUUUUGACGUUACCGACAGAAUAAGCACCGGCUAACUCUGUGCCAGCAGCCGCGGUAAUACAGAGGGUGCAAGCGUUAAUCGGAAUUACUGGGCGUAAAGCGCGCGUAGGUGGUUCGUUAAGUUGAAUGUGAAAGCCCCGGGCUCAACCUGGGAACUGCAUCCAAAACUGGCGAGCUAGGGUAGGGCAGAGGGUGGUGGAAUGUCAUGUGUAGCGGUGAAGUGCGUAGAUAUAGGAAGGAACACAAGUGGCGAAGGCGACCACCUGGGCUCAUACUGACACUGAGGUGCGAAAGCGUGGGGAGCAAACAGG